AGCGGCGGACGGGUGAGUAACACGUGGAAACAAAACCUAUAAGACUGGGAUAACUUCGGGAAACCGGAGAUAAUACCGGAUAAUAUUUUGAACCGCAUGGUUCAAAAGUGAAAGACGGUCUUGCUGUCACUUAUAGAUGGAUCCGCGCUGCAUUAGCUAGUUGGUAAGGUAACGGCUUACCAAGGCAACGAUGCAUAGCCGACCUGAGAGGGUGAUCGGCCACACUGGAACUGAGACACGGUCCAGACUCCUACGGGAGGCAGCAGUAGGGAAUCUUCCGCAAUGGGCGAAAGCCUGACGGAGCAACGCCGCGUGAGUGAUGAAGGUCUUCGGAUCGUAAAACUCUGUUAUUAGGGAAGAACAUAUGUGUAAGUAACUGUGCACAUCUUGACGGUACCUAAUCAGAAAGCCACGGCUAACUACGUGCCAGCAGCCGCGGUAAUACGUAUGUGGCAAGCGUUAUCCGGAAUUAUGGGCGUAAAGGCGGCGAGGCGGUUUUUUUAAGUCUGAGGGAAAGCCCACGGCUGAACCGUGUAUGUUCAUUUUAAACUGGUAUACUUGAUCUCAAGAGGAAAGUUGAAUUCCAUAUUAUCGGUGAAAAGCGCAGAGAUAUGGAGGAACACCAGUGGCGAAUGCGACUUUAUGUUCUGUAUCUGACGCUGAAGUGCGAAAGCGUGGGGAUCAAGCAGCAUUAGAUACCGUGGUAGUCCACGCCGUAAACGAUGAGUGCUAAGUGUUAGGGGGUUUCCGCCCCUUAGUGGUGCAGCUAACGCAUUAAGCACUCCGCCUGGGGAGUACGACCGCAAGGUUGAAACUCAAAGGAAUUGACGGGGACCCGCACAAGCGGUGGAGCAUGUGGUUUAAUUCGAAGCAACGCGAAGAACCUUACCAAAUCUUGACAUCCUUUGACAACUCUAGAGAUAGAGCCUUCCCCUUCGGGGGACAAAGUGACAGAAAAAACAUGGUUGUCGUCAGCUCGUGUCGUGAGAUGUUGGGUUAAGUCCCGCAACGAGCGCAACCCUUAAGCUUAGUUGCCAUCAUUAAGUUGGGCACUCUAAGUUGACUGCCGGUGACAAACCGGAGGAAGGUGGGGAUGACGUCAAAUCAUCAUGCCCCUUAUGAUUUGGGCUACACACGUGCUACAAUGGACAAUACAAAGGGCAGCGAAACCGCGAGGUCAAGCAAAUCCCAUAAAGUUGUUGUCAGUUCGGAUUGUAGUCUGCAACUCGCCUACAUGAAGCUGGAAUCGCUAGUAAUCGUUCUCAGCAUGCUACGGUGAAUCCGUUCCCCUUUCCUGUCUCCCCCCGUCACACC
rnacentral:rRNA from 1 species